AGAGUUUGAUCCUGGCUCAGGAUGAACGCUAGCGACAGGCUUAACACAUGCAAGUCGAGGGGCAGCACAGGUAGCAAUACCGGGUGGCGACCGGCGCACGGGUGAGUAACGCGUAUGCAACUUGCCUAUCAGAGGGGGAUAACCCGGCGAAAGUCGGACUAAUACCGCAUGAAGCAGGGGCCCCGCAUGGGGAUAUUUGCUAAAGAUUCAUCGCUGAUAGAUAGGCAUGCGUUCCAUUAGGCAGUUGGCGGGGUAACGGCCCACCAAACCGACGAUGGAUAGGGGUUCUGAGAGGAAGGUCCCCCACAUUGGUACUGAGACACGGACCAAACUCCUACGGGAGGCAGCAGUGAGGAAUAUUGGUCAAUGGCCGAGAGGCUGAACCAGCCAAGUCGCGUGAAGGAAGAAGGAUCUAUGGUUUGUAAACUUCUUUUAUAGGGGAAUAAAGUGGAGGACGUGUCCUUUUUUGUAUGUACCCUAUGAAUAAGCAUCGGCUAACUCCGUGCCAGCAGCCGCGGUAAUACGGAGGAUGCGAGCGUUAUCCGGAUUUAUUGGGUUUAAAGGGUGCGUAGGUGGUGAUUUAAGUCAGCGGUGAAAGUUUGUGGCUCAACCAUAAAAUUGCCGUUGAAACUGGGUUACUUGAGUGUGUUUGAGGUAGGCGGAAUGCGUGGUGUAGCGGUGAAAUGCAUAGAUAUCACGCAGAACUCCGAUUGCGAAGGCAGCUUACUAAACCAUAACUGACACUGAAGCACGAAAGCGUGGGGAUCAAACAGGAUUAGAUACCCUGGUAGUCCACGCAGUAAACGAUGAUCACUAGCUGUUUGCGAUACAGUGUAAGCGGCACAGCGAAAGCGUUAAGUGAUCCACCUGGGGAGUACGCCGGCAACGGUGAAACUCAAAGGAAUUGACGGGGGCCC
rnacentral:rRNA from 1 species